rfam:Felis catus breed Abyssinian Contig100438.1, whole genome shotgun sequence. [26-MAY-2016]
GCUUGGGUGGCUCAGUUGGUUAAGCAUGUGACUUCGGUUCAGGUCAUGAUCUCGUGGUUUGUGGGUUCGAGCCCCACAUCAGGCU